rnacentral:rRNA from 1 species
GCCUAAAGCGUCCGUAGCCGGCUCUGUAAGUUUUCGGUUAAAUCUGUACGCUCAACGUACAGGCUGCUGGGAAUACUGCAGAGCUAGGGAGUGGGAGAGGUAGACGGUACUCGGGAGGAAGUGGUAAAAUGCUUUGAUCUCUCGAUGACCACCUGUGGCGAAGGCGGUCUACCAGAACACGUCCGACGGUGAGGGAUGAAAGCUGGGGGAGCAAACCGGAUUAGAUACCCGGGUAGUCCCAGCUGUAAACUAUGCAAACUCAGUGAUGCGUUGGCUUAUGGCCAGCGCAGUGCCGCAGAGAAGUCGUUAAGUUUGCCGCCUGGGAAGUACGUACGCAAGUAUGAAACUUAAAGGAAUUGGCGGGGGAGCACCACAAGGGGUGAAGCCUGCGGUUCAAUUGGAGUCAACGCCAGAAAUCUUACCCGGAGAGACAGCAGAAUGAAGGUCAAGCUGAAGACUUUACCAGACAAGCUGAGAGGUGGUGCAUGGCCGUCGCCAGCUCGUGCCGUGAGAUGUCCUGUUAAGUCAGGUAACGAGCGAGAUCCCUGCCUCUAGUUGCCACCAUUACUCUCAGGAGUAGUGGGGCGAAUUAGCGGGACUGCCGUAGUUAAUACGGAGGAAGGAGAGGGCCACGGCAGGUCAGUAUGCCCCGAA